rnacentral:lncRNA from 1 species
UUAAGAGCUGCAUGGAUUUGGAGUCUUAUCCUCACUAGAAGAGAGGAAUGCACCCAAUGGAAAAGAGGAGAGCAACCAAAGUCUAAGCUAAGAGCAUAGUUUCAUAAAGUAUUUCCUCUGGCAUUCAUAGUUUUUGUGGACACACCUGAUACCUGAAAAAAACAAUCUGAGAAAAUCUAGGCUGUAACCAGCUCCCCGUUACCCUCAAUGAUAUCAUGGUGAAUAUCUUAGUGCAUGAUGCUUCAUGAAUUUAUGUGAAAGCUUCUCUGGGUUU